CUCAAACAACUCUGUAGGGAAAAAAAUCUAACAAUUCUAUUUAAAAAUGGGCAAAAGAUUUGAAUGGACAUUGCUCAAAAGUAGACAUUCAGAUGGCAAACAGACAAAUGAAAAGGUGCUCAACACCACUGAUCAUCAGAGAAAUGGAAACCAAAGUUAAAAUGAGAUACCAUCUCCCCCCAGUUAAAAUGGCUUUCAUCUAAGAGACAGUCAAUAACAAAAGGUGGCAGGAAUGUGGAGAACAGAGAACCUUCAUACACUAUAGUUGGAAAUGUAAAUUAGUACAACCACUAUGGAGAACAGUUUGGAGGUUUCUCAAAAAACUAAAAAUGGAGUUACUAUAUAAUCUGGCAAUCCCCAUGCUAGGUAUAUGCCCAAAAGAAAGGAAAUCAUUCUCUCAAAGAGAUAUCUUCACUCCCAUGUUUAUUGCAACACUGUUCACAAUAGCAAAGAUUGUCCAUCAACAGAUGAAUGGUUAAAGAAAAUAUGAUACAUAUACACAAUGGAGUACUAUCCAGCCAUCAAAAAGUAUGAGAACCUAUCAUUUGCAGCAACACGGAUAGAACUGGAGGUCAUUAUGUUAAGUGAAAUAAUUUAUAUACCUGACAUUUACUGGGUUCAUGCCAUGUGUAAGCUAUUGAACUCUGCAUAGGGAUAUAGCAGAGAAUAAAAUAAGUAUAAAUUAUACUAGAAAUUACAUUCUACUAGAGGAGAGGAGAGAAACAAGAAAAACUGACAAUACCAAUUUUAUUAGAUGUUAAGAAUGUUAUAAACAAGUGUCAGCAGAGAAGAAAAACAUGUUCUAAGGAGUGCAAUUUUGCAUAGAGAGAUCAGGGAAGGUGUCUUAGUCUGUCUGAGCUAUCAUAACCCAUAAACUGUGUGGGUUACAAACAACAGAAAUUUAGUUUUCACUGUUCUAGAGGCUGGAAAUUCCAAGAUCCAAGUGCCAACAGAUUCACUGUCUGGUGAGGAACUGGCUUUCUGGUCGUAGUUAGUGCCUUCUCACUGCCACAUAGUGGCAUAGUCACUGUCCCCACAUGGUGGAAGGAACAAAGUAGCUCUCUGGGAUGUCUUUUAUAAGGGCACUAAUCUCAUUUAUGAGGGCUCCACCCUCAUGAUCUAAUCACCUCUUAAAAUUCCCACCUUCUAACACCACCACUUUCGGGGAUUAGAUUUAAGCACAGGCAUUUUGGGGGACACAGACAUUCAGACCAUAGCAGAAGGUUUUGCUUAUAGGGUGCAUGUGAGCAGAACCCUGAAGGAGGAAGGAGAGGGAACCAUUCAGAUAUCUCAGGGAAGAAUAUUGUAGGCAAAGAGAGCAGCAUGUGCAACAUUCUGACACAGGAGCAUAUGGAGGUAGUUA
rnacentral:lncRNA from 1 species